AUGUUCUUCGUCUUUUUCCCUUCAUACAUGGACGCAGAGAAGGAGGCGGCGGCUCGUCGGACCCGCGGCUCCCAGCGGCUGGAGGAGGGGAGGAGGAGGAAGAGAACAGAGAAAGGACGGGAGGUGGAGGAGGUGGGGGAGAGGAGGCGUGGAGGGCAGCGGCACAACCAGGAAGGGGAGGGCGAGCGGGGCCAGCCGCGGAGCCGGCCAGGGGCGUCGAGGUCUGCCCUCGCCCCGAAGGCCGCCCUCGAGAGCCGCGCCUGUCAGGCCUCCGCUUCUCUCAGCCUGGGGGUCGCUUCCAGGUCGCCCCUCGCACUUGUCCCUCUGGUCUGGCGGCGGCGAGGGAGCCGGGACGGGCGGCUGUAUCCUGGGGCUGAGUCGGCGGUGGGGACGACUCAGAGGCCCAGUGAGAGCAGGGCUGCUUUGGCUGCUGUGGGGAUGAGCACCCGCCACGGCCGCGGACUGGCUUCCAUCACCGCCGGCCUGCCCCGGCCGCCAUGUUGGGAGGAAACGACGCGUCACGCAGCGGCCGAACGGCUGCAGAAAAGGAAGCGGCGGCGGCGGCGGCGCUGCUUGCCCAGAGCUGCCGAGACGUCGGAGGCAGGGGGCGGAGGGCGACGCGCGUGGAGAGGCCCGAGCCGCAGCGCUACGGCGGCCCGGCGGGGUCUCGCCGCCUCCUGCGUUCGUCUGCAGGGCGGCGUGGGGCGUGGCGGGCGCCCUGCGGCUCCGAAACUAGCCCGAGGUGCUGCUCCCGGCGGUGCAGCGACAGAACCAGAGACCGUGGGUCCUGCCUCUGCUCCGGCCGGAUAGGUAAGACUUCCUGGCUGCUCUGCACCUGCUUUUUGGAGAUCCGCCUAUGGGAGCACAGUCUUUCAGUUCCAAGGGUCACCAAAACACCCUGGCUCAAUCUCAACUACGCCGGGUUUCCACCUGCCGCGCCGGAUUUAAAACUCCGUUCCCAGGCACACGAAAUUGCUGUUGGGACCGAGCCUUCCGAUUGCCCCAGCGAGGAUUCUCUGUUGGGAAAAGACAAAUUACGUGACAACCACAACUUGUUUAUUUUCGACACAUGAUUUACAAGGUUUCAGACCCUAACUGGCUCCAAAGCAGAAAGAUGAAAGGACAUGGCAUAGAAAAGGUGCUCAACUCAUGGCACCCUGGAUGCAGUGCAUUGAAAAAGAGCCAGAGAAGGGAUCAGCUGCUAUGGAAUAGGUAAAGCUCCAAAGAGAGGAUCUCAUGAAGCUGAUCACGCUGGCCUCAAACCUGUGAUUCUCCUGCCUCCUGCCUUAACCUUCCAAAGAGGUUUUAAAGGAUGAAAAAUCUGGAAAGAGAGAAAAAGGAGUUAAUUAUGAGUAUUUAGGGUUGCUGAAAGAUGAACAAAUGCAUGCAGGGAGCAUCAGUACUAUCAGUGGUUCAUGCCAGCGGGAACAUGUUAGCAGAUGUCUACAGUGUUCCAUCCACCAACACAGUAAACAUUCUUAUCACAGCGUGUGAGAUUUUCUUCAAAACAGACCAGUAUUAACCUAUAAAGCACACUAAAGGAAAUGCAAAAUUAGCCCACACAUAUUUUCAGAUCACAGUGCAAUGAAACUAGAAAUCAAUGAAUGACAACAGAUCCUAUGCAAACCCAUGAAAAGUAAACAGUACACUUCUGAAUAAUCAGUGGAUCACAUAUGAAAUUAGGGAAGAAAUUAGUCUGUUCAAACAGACUAAAAAUCAAACAACAAUGACAAUAUGACAUACUGGCACCUAUGAACACAAUGAACUAGUCCUAAGAGGGAAGUUUAUAGUGGUGAAUUCUUACAUCAGAAAAACAGAGCUAGCUCAGACAAAUACCUAGUGACAUGCCUCAAUGUCCUAGCAAAAGAACAGUCCAAAUCUAAACCUAAUACAAGAAAAGAAAUUAUAAAUAUUAAAGCAGAAAUAAAUGAUAUUGAGACUUAAAAAUUACAAAGUAUCAAUGAAUUUAUGAGUUAGUUCUUUGGAAGAAUAAACAAAAUAGACAAACACUUAACAAAUCUUACCAAAAUAUGGAGAAAAAAGGACCCCAAAUCUAUGUAAUUAGAAAUGAAAGGUGAAAUCACAAUGGAUUCUACCAAAAUCCAGAAGAUCAUCAGUAACUACUAUGGGAAACUGUAUUCUAAUUAAAUGGAAAUUCAGAAGAAAUAGAUAUAUUCCUGGAUACAUAUGAAUUAAGCUGCACUAAGAAGAUACAGAAAUAUCUCCUGACUAGUCCAAUAUCACCUAAUCAUAUUGAAGAAGUAACUUUAAAAAGGCUACCAAGAAAAACCCAAAUCCUGACUGAUUCAUGCUGCAGUCUAUAAGACCUUUACAGAUCUAGUACAAAUAUCCCUCAAACUUUUUAAAAUUUAUUUUUAAAAGGGUAAGAUUAAACAGAACAAAACAGAUUAUAAGGAAGCAAUUUUAAGAAACAUGAAUUUCAAAGCAAGUCCACUGGAGAUCUUCACUGUCUUUCUCUAGUUUUCUUCCAAAUAGUUGUCCCCAUCUUCACACACGGUGAAUACAUAUUGAACAUCAUAGAACUAAUCAAGUCAUUACAGGAUGAUGAAGGCUUUUUAGGUCUUCAAGGCCUGACAUUGGGGAAGUCAAUAAUGACUACCAUAAUGUCUCUCAUUCUCUUCAUAGUAGCUGUCCUUAUCUUUAUGUAUGCUGAAAUUGAACAUAAGAGACUAGACUAAUAUCACUCUGAACAGUGAAUAAUAGUGAACAGUGAAUAUGUAUCAUACUGCUACAGAGUUAGCACUGGGUUUCUUAGUGUCUCUUCUUCAGAGUAUCUGUUCAUUACAUCAUGCAUUAUAUAAUCUGUUCCCGUAAACAGUUUAGAAAUUCUCCCCAUGUGUGAAUCUCUACAUGUAUAUCUAUCCUUUCUGUAUCAUAGGAAAAACAGAUCAUAACAAGAUAACAAAACAGAUUCCUAGAAAAACUAUGAAAUGAAAAAGACAUAUAAAACCAUAAUAUUAGGUGGUCUACCAUAGUUACUAUGCUUUUUCUUGUUAUUUUCAAUAGAAUUGUCCACGUCAUCAGGCAUAAUAUAAUUGAACAUAACAUUACAUAGCUAUUUUAAUAAAAACACAACUUUGGAGACAUUGUAGGACUUGAAAAGCAGUCAAUAAUCAAACUGGAAUGGGUAUCUUAUUACAUCUUGUCAUCUUCAGAGUAGUUGCCUCUACUCUUAGACUUGAUACUAUCAAGCAUACCAAAUUUGAAUAAAAUCGGCAAGGCAUAACAGCAGUCUAACAAACCAACUUUAAUAAGAUCAGUCAUAGUAAGACAAUGUAAGUAAUACAGGGUUUCAGUUUAAGUUAAUAGGAAAUUAAGGAUAGUUACCAUAGUAUAGCUUGCUAUUUUUGGGAUGGCUGUCUGAGCCCUCAAAUCUAGUAUGAGUAGACAGACCAGAACAAAAUAAACAGAGCGAGACUAAUGUGGCUUUUAAAUCCUGAUACACUAUUAACAAUGUUCUCUGCCUUCCUUUUUUAGGCAGUUCCUCACCUUUCCCCUUCUCCGGAUGCUUUGUAUAUUUUGGGUUCCACUAGCUCCUUUAGUUUUUACAUUAGGUGGUCAACCCAUUAUCUAUCUGAUGUUGCUGAACCUUUUUACCCCUGAGCUUGAUCUUGAGCUGUACUCCUUUAUUUACUAAAGCCACUAGGUUUUCCUUCCUUCCAGCUGUGUAAUGCUACACUGCACAGCGGUGUCAUAACUUUCCAACCUAUCUGUGGCUGCUGGAUGAGCUGUCCCUAUUUCUCUCUGGUUCCCUGUCACACAGAACAUCAUUUUCUCAUCUUUGACUUUCAGUUUAUUAACUGUCUUUCAGGUUGAGUAUAUUUCCUAUUCAGAGCAUCUCGAUGGAUCCUGCCUCCUAAUCUACUCUGCCUGUGUUUGUUAGUGUAUCAAGACUAUCUCUAUUAAAGAUUAUAGCCUACCUUCUCUGUCUCAUCUCUGCUAUUCUAUUUUUCUGCUAUUAUUUGUACACUUUUCUCCUCCAUUCCACUGUCUGCCCCAUUCAUUGAGGCCUCUCUGCCACUGUUGCUGGAAUCCUGGUAUUUUUUUUCUCUCUCUCUAGAAUGUCCUUCAGUAUUUUUUGUAGGGUUGGAUUGGUGGCCAUGAACUCCCACAGUUCCUCCUUAUCUUGGAAACAUCUUAUUUCACCAUUAAUUUUGAGGGAGAGUUUUUCAGGGUACAUCAAUCUGGGCUGGAGUUAUUUUCUUUCAAGGCUUGGAGUGUUUCCCCCCAGACUCUUCUCGAUUUGAGAGUUUGUGUUGAUAAGUCUCAUUAUUUUGAUGAUUUUUCCUUUGUAGGUGGUCAACUUCUUUUCUCUGGCCACUUUUAAUAUUCUGUUUUUGUGGUGGAUUUCUGGGAUCUUUAUUAUAUGUCUUGGUGUAGAUCUGUUUUGGUUGUAGUUGGUUGGAGUUUUGUAUGCCUCAUUUAUCUGGAUAUCAUUUUUUUUCCUAUGCUUGGGAAGUUUUCCUUAAUUAUAUCUGUGAAUAGCCUUUGUAAUUCAUUUGUGGUUACUCCUGCUUCUUCACUCACAUUUUUUAUUCUUAAGUUAUAGAUCCACUUGUCAUCUUCUAGCCUUUGAAUUGUUUCUUCCUGGUUCCUUGUUAUUUUUAAGAGAUCUUUUCUUUCAUGAUCACCAUUAUAAAUCUCUCUUCAAGUUUCAAAAGACUAACUUUAGUUUCUGUCAGGGCAUUUUGCUAGCUUUUAAUGGAGUUUUUAGUUUCCUGGUAGUCUUUUUGGAUCUGUUUCAUGUAUUCUAGAUUUUGUUUAUCUUCUUCACCAAAGGUUUCUCUUCCUUUUCUGGGUUCCUCCAUUUUUCCAUCUGUAUUUUCUUGUGAGGGGCUUAGCAUUUCUUUAAUUAAUCUUUUCAUAUCUUGCCUCACUUGGAUUAGAAUUUCAGUUUUAAGUGUAUCUAUGAGGUCAUGAAGGUAUUUCUUUAUGUCUGCUGAUGUUGUGGCUAAUAUUGCAUGAUUACUGCACUGAUUCUCUUCUGUAUUUACCUCUCCUGGGCUUAUUUUCCCAGGGUCAGUGCCUGGAGAUUUUUUCUUAUUUCUAUCUCUUGUCAUGUUUUUGGUUUCUUUCAGACAGAUGGGUAGUGGAGGUCUCUGGCCCUCUCUGUAUUGUUUAGGUGUUUCCUAAGUGUGCUGACUGAGGUUUUGCUGCCCUCUCCAAUUUGCUAUUAUCUGAGGUGCACGCAGGGUGCAUGUGGGCUGGCCCCUCACCUCUGAGCCAGUCAACUGGGAAGUACCUUCAGCAUCUUAGGCUGUGCUGUGGCAGACGUCACAGGGUUGGGACAGUUUUGUCCCUAGCUACUGGGUCCCAACCAGGGGCGUGCCUCAGCCCAAGCAGGUCCCACCAGUCCUCUGGGCCAGGGGUGGCUGACUGACACCACCAUGGCACCAGGCUCUGCCCCACUCCAAGAUGUCUUACAGCCAGCAACACCUGCAGCGGGACCCAAUUUCCAGCACUCGCCACAAACUAUUACAGUUCUCCACCUUGGCUUCACUCCACAUUGUGUCGCAUCCUCCUGCCAAGGGCCCGGGACUCACCAAUUCCCCUUAUCAGCGGCCAUGGCUUUAGCGGGACCUUGAAUCGCCCAAUUCCUCGGGGCUCCCAGCACAGUGUGGACCGGUCUCCUCCUCAAACCCUUUAAUGAAAUCGAAAGGGAAGCAGUACUCCCAAAAUCAUUCCUGGAAGCAAGCAUUAUCCUGAUUCCAAAAUCAGAAAGUGACCCAACUGAAAGAGAGAAUCACAGUCAAGUCUCUUUAUUGAAUAUAGAUACAGAAGUCCUCAAUAGAUACUGGCAAACAGAAUGCAACAAAUGAUCAAAAAGAUCAUACAUCAUGACCAAGUAGAAUUCAUCCCAGGGAUUCAGAGAUGGUUUACCAUACAUAAAUCAAUAAAUGUAGUAUACCACAUAAACAGAAACUAGAACAAAAAAUCAUAUACUCAUCUCAAAAGACACAGGAAAAGCAUUGAGCAAAAUGCAACAUUCAAUCCUGAUUUUUUAAAAACUGAAGAAAAUAGAUACAGAAAGAAGGUCUUUUAUCUCAGGCUGAUUUUAAAAAGCCAUCUAUGACAAACUAAAAACUUAUAUUAAAUGGAAAGAAACCAAAAGUUUUCCUCUAAAAAUAGAAAAUGAUACAAAGAUGUCCAUUAUCAUCACUCUUGUUCAAUGUAAUUCUCAAAGCAUUAGCCAGAGCAAUUAUACAAGAGAAAGAAACAAAAGGGAUAUAGAUAGGAAGGGAAUAAAUUAAAUUAUUAUUUUCAAAUGACAUGCUCCUGUACAUGGAAGACCUUGAAAACUUCACCAAAAGACUCCUAGAAUAAUCAAAUUUAGUAAUGUAAUAGGACACAAAGUCACCACUCAAAAAGCAAUAUAGUUUCUGUACAUCAAUAAUAAAUUCACCAAGAGAGAAAUUGGGGAAACAAUACCUUUCACAACAACAUCAAGAAAAAUGAAAUACUUAAAAAUUAACCAUGGAACUGAAAGACUGCUACAGUGAAAACUACAGUGUUGAAGCUGUUGAAGCUGAAUACAUGUGCAGAGCUGUGGCACAGCCGGGAAUGGCUGAACUGAGAGGGAGGAGAUAUCUCAGGGGGCAAGAUAGGCCAUUGCUGAGGCUGCCUAGAGACUUUCUGGACCGUUUUCCUUAAUUAGCAUCAUCUGUUGCUCUGAAGGGUCCCUGAACCCCUCCCAAGAUCUUGCUCAGGUUUCCUGGGUUUUCCACAUAACUUUUUGCUUGUUCUGAUUAAAUAUAGGCUGCCCAGGGUCAGUCAAAGUUAUGAGAUCUGCAGAGGAUUUUAGUCCUCCUGGAGCUCUAAAAAUCAUGCCGCUUGUCUCAUUCCUUUGAGCUUUUGCUGUGCAUCCAUUUGGGAGAUUGGGGAUUUAGGCACAGACUCCAACAUUACAGUACUGAAAAAAGAUUUGACUGUGGACUGAAAAGUGUACCUAAUGUGAGCUAAAAUAAACCUUCCCUUCUUCAA